rnacentral:rRNA from 1 species
AGCGAACGCUGGCGGCAGGCCUAACACAUGCAAGUCGAGCGCGUGUAGCAAUACACGAGCGGCAGACGGGAGAGUAACACGUGGGAACGUACCCUUCGGUUCGGAAUAACCCAGGGAAACUUGGACUAAUACCGAAUACGUCCGAAAGGAGAAAGAUUCAUCGCCGAAGGAUCGGCCCGCGGCUGAUUAGCUAGUUGGUG